rnacentral:rRNA from 1 species
AUGAACGCUGGCGGCGUGCCUAAUACAUGCAAGUCGAGCGAACGGACGAGAAGCUUGCUUUUCUGAUGUUAGCGGCGGACGGGUGAGUAACACGUGGAUAACCUACCUAUAAGACUGGGAUAACUUCGGGAAACCGGAGCUAAUACCGGAUAAUAUUUUGAACCGCAUGGUUCAAAAGUGAAAGACGGUCUUGCUGUCACUUAUAGAUGGAUCCGCGCUGCAUUAGCUAGUUGGUAAGGUAACGGCUUACCUAGGCAACGAUGCAUAGCCGACCUGAGAGGGUGAUCGGCCACACUGGAACUGAGACACGGUCCAGACUCCUACGGGAGGCAGCAGUAGGGAAUCUUCCGCAAUGGGCGAAAGCCUGACGGAGCAACGCCGCGUGAGUGAUGAAGGUCUUCGGAUCGUAAAACUCUGUUAUUAGGGAAGAACAUAUGUGUAAGUAACUGUGCACAUCUUGACGGUACCUAAUCAGAAAGCCACGGCUAACUACGUG